UACGUAGGGGGCGAGCGUUGUCCGGAUUUACUGGGCGUAAAGCGCGUGUAGGCGGCUGCUUAAGUCGGGUGUGAAAGCCCGGGGCUCAACCCCGGGGAUGCCGCCCGAGACUGGGCGGCUUGAGGUCGGAAGAGGGAGUGGAAUUCCAGGUGUAGCGGUGAAAUGCGUAGAGAUCUGGAGGAACACCCGUGGCGAAGGCGGCUCCCUGGUCCGAUUCUGACGCUGAGACGC
rnacentral:rRNA from 1 species